rnacentral:rRNA from 1 species
GUCUUCUUGCUAUAUUUAGGAAGUCUGGCCUGCCCAGUGAAAAUAAUUUAACGGCCGCGGUAUACUGACCGUGCAAAGGUAGCAUAAUCAUUAGUCUUUUAAUAGAGGGCUGGUAUGAAGGGUUUAACGAGGUGUUGACUGUCUCAUUUAAUUUGAAUUUAGAAUUUAAUUUUUUAGUUAAAAAGCUAAAAUAUUAUUGGAAGACGAGAAGACCCUAUAGAGCUUUAUAUUUUUAUUAUUAAUUUAUUUUAGUUUAUUAUUAUUUAUUAUUAAUAGAAAAUAUUUUGUUGGGGUGACAAAAAUAUAUAAAUAACUUUUUCAUUUAUUUUACAUUGAUAUAUGAAUAUUAGAUCCAAUCUUAUUGAUUGUUAGAUUAAGUUACCUUAGGGAUAACAGCGUAAUCCCUCUCCAGAGUUCAUAUUUACAGAGGGGCUUGCGACCUCGAUGUUGGAUUAAGAUAAUAAUUAGGUGCAGCCGCUUAAUUAAUAGGUCUGUUCGACCUUUAAAUUCUU